ensembl:snoRNA U8 U8 small nucleolar RNA
UUGUCAGGUAGGAUAAUCCUUACCUGUUCCUCUAUUCAGAAGGCAGAUAGAACAUGAUGAUUGGAGUUUGCAUGAUUCAUGAUUAAUGUCUCUACGUGAUUAGGGCACACAACACCCUAAUUCUCCUAUCUGAU